rnacentral:rRNA from 2 species
AAUGGGUCAGCGACUUAUAUUCUGUAGCAAGGUUAACCGAAUAGGGGAGCCGAAGGGAAACCGAGUCUUAACUGGGCGUUAAGUUGCAGGGUAUAGACCCGAAACCCGGUGAUCUAGCCAUGGGCAGGUUGAAGGUUGGGUAACACUAACUGGAGGACCGAACCGACUAAUGUUGAAAAAUUAGCGGAUGACUUGUGGCUGGGGGUGAAAGGCCAAUCAAACCGGGAGAUAGCUGGUUCUCCCCGAAAGCUAUUUAGGUAGCGCCUCGUGAAUUCAUCUCCGGGGGUAGAGCACUGUUUCGGCAAGGGGGUCAUCCCGACUUACCAACCCGAUGCAAACUGCGAAUACCGGAGAAUGUUAUCACGGGAGACACACGGCGGGUGCUAACGUCCGUCGUGAAGAGGGAAACAACCCAGACCGCCAGCUAAGGUCCCAAAGUCAUGGUUAAGUGGGAAACGAUGUGGGAAGGCCCAGACAGCCAGGAUGUUGGCUUAGAAGCAGCCAUCAUUUAAAGAAAGCGUAAUAGCUCACUGGUCGAGUCGGCCUGCGCGGAAGAUGUAACGGGGCUAAACCAUGCACCGAAGCUGCGGCAGCGACACUAUGUGUUGUUGGGUAGGGGAGCG